GACGAACGCUGGCGGCGUGCUUAACACAUGCAAGUCGAACGGAAAGGCCCCUUUGGGGGUACUCGAGUGGCGAACGGGUGAGUAACACGUGAGUAACCUGCCCUUGGCUUCGGGAUAACUUCAGGAAACUGGGGCUAAUACCGGAUAGGAAUCCUUGCUGCAUGGUGGGGGUUGGAAAGCUUCGGCGGUUUUGGAUGGACUCGCGGCUUAUCAGCUUGUUGGUGGGGUAGUGGCUUACCAAGGCUUUGACGGGUAGCCGGCCUGAGAGGGCGACCGGCCACAUUGGGACUGAGAGACGGCCCAGACUCCUACGGGAGGCAGCAGUGGGGAAUAUUGCACAAUGGGCGGAAGCCUGAUGCAGCAACGCCGCGGGCGGGAUGACGGCCUUCGGGUUGUAAACCGCUUUCAGCAGGGGCGAAGCUUGUGGUGACGGUACCUGCAGAAGAAGCACCGGCUAACUACGUG
rnacentral:rRNA from 1 species